GGGGGUGAAUGGUCUCGACUUCGUUCGUCGAGGCAGGGGAAGCGGGCCGAGGAAGGCAACGAUGAGCUCGUUAACCACGCGUUGCAAAAAAUCAAGCGCCGACAAUAGUCAGCGCGACUUUGCACUCGCUGCCUAAGCGGGUCUGAAGUCCGUCAGACCGGGAGGGCCUCCGGCCCGGAACCUGGCGCCGCUAGGAGGAUCACCGUACGACCCGGUUGCGGGGGCGUACGGGACACCAAACAGCAACUGGGCCUGUCACACCGACUAGUUCACAAGAUCGGUGGGGCCAAGUAGAGACGAUGUGAACUGCGCACGGAGAAGCCCUGUCAAGUCAACGAAGGACCCGGGUUCGAUUCCCGGCACCUCCACCC
rnacentral:tmRNA from 1 species